rnacentral:rRNA from 1 species
GUAGGGAAUAUUGGACAAUGGUUGCAAGACUGAUCCAGCCAUGCCGCGUGCAGGAAGAAGGCUUUCUGAGUUGUAAACUGCUUUUGCCAGGGGAUAAAAAAUCCCUGCGGGGAGAAUUGAAGGUACCUGGUGAAUAAGCCACGGCUAACUACGUGCCAGCAGCCGCGGUAAUACGUAGGUGGCAAGCGUUGUCCGGAUUUAUUGGGUUUAAAGGGUGCGUAGGCGGUGACCUAAGUCAGUUGUGAAAUACUUCAGCUUAACUGGAGAGGUGCAAUUGAUACUGGGAUACUUGAGUACUGAUGAGGUAUGCGGAAUGGACGGUGUAGCGGUGAAAUGCUUAGAUAUCGUCCAGAACACCGAUAGCGAAGGCAGCAUACUAAGGAGUAACUGACGCUGAGGCACGAAAGUGUGGGGAUCAAACAGGAUUAGAAACCCUGGUAGUCC